rnacentral:rRNA from 1 species
CGGUAACAGAUCCAGCUUGCUGGAUGCUGACGAGCGGCGGCACGGGUGAGUAAUGCAUAGGAAUCUGCCCGAUAGUGGGGGAUAACCUGGGGAAACCCAGGCUAAUACCGCAUACGUCCUACGGGAGAAAGGGGGCUCCGGCUCCCGCUAUGGGAUGAGCCUAUGUCGGAUUAGCUAGUUGGUGAGGUAACGGCUCACCAAGGCCACGAUCCGUAGCUGGUCUGAGAGGAUGAUCAGCCACAUCGGGACUGAGACACGGCCCGAACUCCUACGGGAGGCAGCAGUGGGGAAUAUUGGACAAUGGGGGCAACCCUGAUCCAGCCAUGCCGCGUGUGUGAAGAAGGCCCUCGGGUUGUAAAGCACUUUCAGCGAGGAAGAACGCCUAGCGGUUAAUACCCGCUAGGGAAAGACAUCACUCGCAGAAGAAGCACCGGCUAACUCCGUGCCAGCAGCCGCGGUAAUACGGAGGGUGCAAGCGUUAAUCGGAAUUACUGGGCGUAAAGCGCGCGUAGGUGGCUUGAUAACCCGGUUGUGAAAGCCCCGGGCUCAACCUGGGAACGGCAUCCGGAACUGUCAAGCUAGAGUGCAGGAGAGGAAGGUAGAAUUCCCGGGUGUAGCGGGUGAAAUGCGUAGAGAUCGGGGAGG